rnacentral:rRNA from 1 species
GUGGGGACACGUAAGGAGAGCGGGAGCCGGGGAUGGAUUGUCCCGGUACAAGCGAGGUACCAGUAUGGUAGGAAAAUCCGCCAUGUAAUGGGAAGACGUGAUGUGGAGUGAAAUAUAGUAACGAAGCCCGUGAGCCAUGCGUCAAGAAAAGCCGCUAUUGUUUAUAUUGUACCCGUACCGUAAACCGACACAGGUGGAUGAGGAGAGAAUCCUAAGGCCGGCGGAAGAAGUAUUGCCAAGGAACUCGGCAAAAUGGCCCCGUAACUUAGGGAGAAGGGGUGCCUGCGAGAGCAGGCCGCAGAGAAUAGGCUCAAGCAACUGUUUAGCAAAAACACAGGUCUAUGCGAAACCGAAAGGUGAGGUAUAUGGGCUGACGCCUGCCCGGUGCUGGAAGGUUAAGAGGAGAGGUCAGACGCAAGUCGAAGCUUUGAAUUUAAGCCCCAGUAAACGGCGGCCGUAACGAUAACGGUCCUAAGGUAGCGAAAUUCCUUGUCGGGUAAGUUCCGACCCGCACGAAAGGCGUAAUGAUUUGAGCGCUGUCUCGGCAAUACAUCCGGUGAAAUUGAAGUGCCAGUGAAGAUGCUGGCUACCCGCGCCAGGACGGAAAGACCCCAUGGAGCUUUACUCCAGUUUGGCACUGGGGUCCGGUGUUGCAUGUACAGGAUAGGUGGGAGGCUGAGAAACGGUAACGUCAGUUGCCGCGGAGCCGCUGUUGGGAUACCACCCUUGUGAUAUUGGGCUUCUAACCAGCCGCCGUGAUCCGGCGGUGGGACAAUGCCAGGCGGGGAGUUUGACUGGGGCGGUCGCCUCCGAAAGGGUAUCGGAGGCGCCCAAAGGUUCCCUCAGAAUGGACGGAAACCAUUCGAAGAGUGCAAAGGCAGAAGGGAGCUUGACUGCGACACCGACGGGUGGAGCAGGUACGAAAGUAGGGCUUAGUGAUCCGGUGGUAUUAAGUGGGAAUGCCAUCGCUCAACGGAUAAAAGCUACCCUGGGAUAACAGGCUUAUCACUCCCAAGAGUUCACAUCGACGGAGUGGUUUGGCACCUCGAUGUCGGCUCAUCGCAUCCUGGGGCUGUAGUAGGUCCCAAGGGUUGGGCUGUUCGCCCAUUAAAGCGGUACGCGAGCUGGGUUCAGAACGUCGUGAGACAGUUCGGUCCCUAUCCGGCGUGGGCGCAGGAUAUCUGAGAGGAGCUGUCCUUAGUACGAGAGGACCGGGAUGGACGGACCGCUGGUGGACCGGUUGGCUUGCCAAAGCCAUGGCCGGGUAGCCAAGUCCGGAAGGGAUAAACGCUGAAGGCAUCUAAGCGUGAAGCCCCCCUCAAGAUGAGAUAUCCCAUUCUUUAAGAAGUAAACCCCCUUGAAGACGACGAGGUAGAUAGGGCAGAGGUGGAAGUGUGGUAACACACGCAGCUGACUGUUACUAAUCGGGUGAGGGCUUGACC